rnacentral:rRNA from 1 species
UACGUAGGUGGCAAGCGUUGUCCGGAUUUACUGGGCGUAAAGAGCGCGCAGGCGGUCGUUCAAGUCGCGUGUGAAAGCCCCCGGCUCAACUGGGGAGGGUCACGCGAUACUGGUCGACUCGAAGGCAGGAGAGGGUAGUGGAAUUCCGAGUGUAGAGGUGAAAUUCGUAGAUAUUCGGAGGAACACCAGUGGCGAAGGCGGCUCACUGGCUCGGUACUGACGCUGAGGUGCGAAAGCGUGGGGAGCAAACAGG